rnacentral:rRNA from 1 species
UACGAGGGGGCUAGUGUUGUUCGGAAUCACUGGGCGUAAAGGGAGCGUAGGCGGGAGCCUAAGUUGGGUGUUUAAUUCCGGGGCCCAACCCCGGGCGUGCACUCAAAACUGGGUUUCUUGAAUAGGGGAGAGGUCGGUGGAAUUGGAGGUGUAGCGGUGGAAUGCGUAGAGAUCUCCAAGAACACCCGUUGCGAAGGCGGCCGACUGGACCCAUAUUGACGCUGAGGCUCGAAAGCAUGGGGAGCAAACAGG